AUGCCAAAUGGCAGUCUUGACAAGUAUUUGCACCAUCCACGUAUGCCAGCAAUAUUCUGGCCCCAAAGGUACUGGAUCAUCAAAGGUGUUGCAUCAGGCCUAUUGUAUCUUCACGAGGAUUGGGAAAAAGUUGUGAUUCAUAGGGAUAAUAAGGCAAGCAAUGUGCUCUUGGAUGAACAAUUGAAUGGGUGUCUGGGAGAUUUUGGCCUAGCAAAAUUAUAUGACCAUGGAACUGAUGCUCAAACAACCCAUGUUGUUGGCACCAGGGGAUACCUCGCACCAGAGCUUCUGCGCACCGGGAAGGCAACGCCCUUAACCGAUGUAUUCGCAUUUGGUAUGUUCCUUCUAGAGGUUGCAUGUGGACGAAGGCCAAUCCAGCAUGACGAGCACAACAACCCAGUGGUGUUGGUUGAUUGGGUGCGUGAGUGCUACCGCAAUGGAUCGAUCCUCGAGGUGGUGGAUCCGUGA
rnacentral:rRNA from 1 species